rnacentral:rRNA from 1 species
AGAUUGAACGCUGGCGGCAUGCCUUACACAUGCAAGUCGAACGGCAGCACGGGAGCAAUCCUGGUGGCGAGUGGCGAACGGGUGAGUAAUACAUCGGAACGUGCCCAGUUGUGGGGGAUAGCCCGGCGAAAGCCGGAUUAAUACCGCAUACGACCUACGGGUGAAAGCGGGGGAUCGCAAGACCUCGCGCUAUUGGAGCGGCCGAUGUCGGAUUAGCUUGUUGGUAGGGUAAAAGCCUACCAAGGCUACGAUCCGUAGCUGGUCUGAGAGGACGACCAGCCACACUGGGACUGAGGCACGGCCCAGACUCCUACGGGAGGCAGCAGUGGGGAAUUUGGACAAUGGGCGAAAGCCUGAUCCAGCCAUGCCGCGUGCGGGAAGAAGGCCCGUUCGGGUUAGUAAACCGUCGUUUUGUCGUAAGGGAAGAAACGGUUCGAGCUAAUAUUACUUGAACUAAUAGACGGUACCUAGAAGAAUAAAGCAACCGGACUAAACUACGUACGCCAAGACAGACCCGACGGUAAACUCUAGA